AGUGAACGCUGGCGGCAGGCCUAACACAUGCAAGUCGAACGGUAACGGGGUAUCAGGUGGCUCCGACGGGCGAAGGGGGGAGGAAUACAGCGGAACAUACCGGAACCUAGUUUAUAACGGGGGGUAAGGUAUGCUAACAUCCGCUACUACCGAAUGAGAAAUACGGGUGACCGCAGGGGCUUUUCCGGCCUUGCCGGCCGGUAUGAGCCGAUGUCGGAUUAGGUAGUUGGGGGGGUAAAGGCCAACCAAGGCGACGAUCCGUAGCUGGUCUGAGAGGAUGAUCAGCCACACUGGAACUGAGACACGGUCCAGACUCCUACGGGAGGCAGCAGUGGGGAAUAUUGGACAAUGGGCGCAAGCCUGAUCCAGCCAUGCCGCGUGGAUGAUGAAGGCCUUCGGGUUGUAAAGUCCUUUUGUAGGGAAAGAAAAGCAUCAGUUUAAUACCGCGCUGUUCUGACGGUACCCAAAGAAUAAGCACCGGCUAACUACGUG
rnacentral:rRNA from 1 species